rnacentral:lncRNA from 1 species
GGUGGGGGUGGGGGUGGGGGUGGGGGCAGCCUGGCUGGCCAGAGCGCAUUCUUCCUGACCGCCUCCUCUCAGAGGAUUCCUGCCUGAGUCUGGUGCCCACCGCACAGCUCCUGGUCUUAACCCACUCAACUAAGCCACCCUUUCUUACCUCACUACCUCACCUGAGUCAGGAAGCAAAAGAUUCCUGGCCCUGGACUGGAGCAGGGCACAGAAGAACAAGGUCCCCUAACUGCCUGCCACUGGGGAGGAAAAGAGAGGCUUGAAGGGCAUCUGUUUAAACAGGUAAGGGAGGGAAGGGUUCCAGCCAUCUCUACUGGACCUAGGUGGACCUAGGUGGACCCUACUUGGGGCUAGCAGGGGCAUCCCUGGAAAUGGGAGUGAGAAGAGAGACCUGAUGCUCCCCUGUGGACCCCGUUGUCCAUUCCGGAUCCUGCUGGGCUGACCUGGGUCUCUGGAGACAGGACUGGGCAGAGCAGACACUGGUGAUGCUGCCCAUG